rnacentral:rRNA from 1 species
UACGUAGGGGGCAAGCGUUGUCCGGAAUCAUUGGGCGUAAAGAGCGCGUAGGCGGCCCUGUAAGUCCGCUGUGAAAGUCAAGGGCUCAACCCUUGAAUGCCGGUGGAUACUGCAGGGCUAGAGUCCGGAAGAGGCGAGUGGAAUUCUUGGUGUAGCGGUGAAAUGCGCAGAUAUCAGGAGGAACACCGAUGGCGAAGGCAGCUCGCUGGGACGGUACUGACGCUGAGGCGCGAAAGCGUGGGGAGCAAACAGG